UCCCCGAACACGGAAAAAAAAGGCGCAGUGGGGGUUCUGCUGUGUUUGCAAGUGAGGGUCGUGAGUGCAACGGGCGCAAGGCAUUAAGGCCAGUGUGUUAGUGCGCGGGCAGGCUCGCGUGGUGCUGGGGUUGCUGUGUGAGCGGCCCUCGUGGCUCGGGAGGUGCUGUGUUUGCGCAGGCGUGCGCCCCUGGCGUCGGGACUGGGGACUCCGGAUUUCUGUGGCGACUGAGGCGCUCUUACCUUUGCGUCCUGAUCUCCAAGCAAGCACACUGACCUUCUUCAGGCAAAUACGCACUGUUAAUUUUCCAGAAAGUUCUGUGAGUAAGGUUUAUACCUCUCGAGUCUGCCACUAGAUGCCGCCAAAUCCCAGCAAAGGAUUGGCUGUUUGGUCCCUGGGAUUCUGGGAUUUUGUUUCCCUCCCCCCUCCCCUUUCUGAUUUGCUGAACGGUAAUAUCUAUAGGCAUCAUGGAUAUCGUUCAUUCCUAGGAAAAAAUAAAAUCAACUUCUGUAAAUAGCACUAGUAGGCAGGGGACUGUGACCCAAGAUCCAAAUAAUUUUGCUCAUUUCUUUCCUUUUCUCCUUGGGUUAAAAAAAAAAAAAGGCCCCUCUCCAUCCCUCUUUUCUUUUGUCCUUGCCUUGUUUAAUCAAAGAGUUAAUGAAUGACGCAAGCACUGAUGCUGAAGAUCCUAACCCUUUUUCCUCACCUUUUCAAAUGCUCGCAACUCACCCAAACUGAAAAUACAGAUAGCUGUUCCGUCAGUAAAGAUAGAUAAGAACUCAUCAGUAAAACCUGGACCCUGGUAUUGAAAACUGAUUUUCCUUUUCUCUUGAAAUUUGUAUCAGAUAUGUGUUUUUGCACCCUAUUUUCUGUAGUGGUAUUGGUAAACUUUAUUGUGUCUUUGGAGUAAGAGAAAGAGACCUAAUUGUAAACCUCAUUCCACCACUUACUAGUCUCAGUACCCUGGGCAAAUGAUUUAUGUUUUGUGAUCCUCAGUUUUUUUGUAUGCUUUCUAUAUUUUAGAUGCUGUGUUAUAUCGUUCACGUUGAUUUUUUUAUUCAUCACCAAGUCCUUAUUAGAUGAGCACUACUGGAUCAAAGUCAAACAACAAAAAUCAUACCCCUUUCAAUUAUCUAUCUUAUAUACUUGUACACCACACAGGAGGGAUUUUUUUAGAGCAGUGGUUCCCAAGGUGUGUUUCCUGGAUGUACCAGAAACAUCAGCGUCACCUGAAAAGUUGUCAGAAAUUCGGAUUCUCAGGUCCCACCUCAAACUUAAUGAAUCAGAAGUUCGCAGGGUGGGGUUUAGUAAUCUGUGUUAUUACAAACUAUCCCAGUGAUUCCAGCACACACUGAAGUUUGAGAGCCACUGCUUUGGAGAGUAGAAAUGCAAUGCAUAUUUUUGUACACACCACUAGAGGGUGCUACAGAAUGUAAAGCAAAAUAAUAAAUGAUGCACAGUAUAUGUUUUCAGACACCCUCUAUAUUAUCAGUCCUAUUUUACAGAUUAAAAACUAAUGUGUAGAUAUGUCAAAUUAUUUUCUUAGUGUACGCAACAAGUAUGGGAACCAGGAUUUGAACUUCACCUGCCUCUAGCCCAAGCCCCUAAUAGUACUCUGUUGUUUAACCAUGAUGACUUGUCUUUCCAAGCCUCAAAAUACAUUAGAAAUAUCUUGUUCCCUGCUUUGGCUAAUGUUGACUGGAGUGUCAAGAAGAGUGCAGGAAAGCAAACCAAGGCUGUUGCAACCUCACCAGAACAGCUGAAGAAUGAAUUUCAGCCUGGACUCUACCUUAUUAGUUGGGCACCCUUGGGGAGGGUGCAACCUGCCCAACAUUUUCUGCUGGCCCUGUCUUACCUCAUGACUAAGAGAGCCUUCCUAGGUCUGGAAGGUAGCAGUCAGUCUGUUCUGGAGGGUGGAGAGAGACACCAGUGUUUUCCCAUGGUUUCUGGGUAGUAGAUAAAAUUGGUCUAUUCUAAGGUUAAUUUGAUAUUUUAAAAUUUUGAUUCUGACUAGCUUAUUGGAUUUUUUUGAAUAAUGUUUGAUUAAUGUAAAGGUUAAAAAUAAAACCUAAUAUUUCAGCUAAGCAAAUGGUAUUUCUUUAAUAAGGACGUAUUUCUAUCUAUUUAUACCUGCCUCAUUCCAUAGGAAUUUUAUAAAGCCAGUCCAGGAAUGUAGUCUGAAUCAAUCUAGUUUGCUAGCCUGUGAGACCAGGGCAAAGAUGAAAAUAGUCAUGGGAAAGUUUUAUCCUUUUAGGGGUAUCUGUCUUCUUCUAGUUCCUCUCUCCUCCUUUGACAAAUCCCCACCCCGAGACUGACCUACCCAUUUGACAGAAUGAGAUUACUUCUUCAAAUGACCCAAAACACUGAGAUCCUGAACCUAAUCAAUAAUGUCCUUGGAUGACCUUGGGAUGCCAGAUUCACACAUAAUUCCUUGUUGUCCCCUUCCUGAGUUAAUAGUUUAGCAUACAAUUUACCAAAAUUUGUAGUUUCCUGAGCCACAGACUUCACUUGGAAUGAUCAUAUAAAGUCAUCCAUGCUACAUACCAACCCACAGAAAUGAGGACCGCUUUCCUCCAGUGUAUGCUGAGUCCUACAAUCUGAGCACUGCUUCAAGAGGAUGCCUUGAGUCAUUUUUCCAGAGUUAAAUUUGCUUAUGCUUCUAACCUCCACCUACAGUCCCCGUUACACUGGGAAUGAUAAAAACUAUGCCUUUUGAAAAUAUAAGCUGUCAUGUUAUUAAAGAUGACAAACCAGUAGUAGUUAAAGUGCUGCAUCUAAAUUGUUGAAGCUUGUUACGUGGGAGUUCAUUAGACUGUUUUUCCUACUUUUGUGUAUUUUUGAAGUUUUCCAUAAUAAAACAUUUAAAAAGACAAAAAA
rnacentral:lncRNA from 1 species